rnacentral:rRNA from 1 species
GGACAAAGACUGACGCUCAGGUGCGAAAGCGUGGGGAGCAAACAGGAUUAGAUACCCUGGUAGUCCACGCCGUAAACGAUGUCGAUUUGGAGGUUGUGCCCUUGAGGCGUGGCUUCCGGAGCUAACGCGUUAAAUCGACCGCCUGGGGAGUACGGCCGCAAGGUUAAAACUCAAAUGAAUUGACGGGGGCCCGCACAAGCGGUGGAGCAUGUGGUUUAAUUCGAUGCAACGCGAAGAACCUUACCUGGUCUUGACAUCCACAGAACUUUCCAGAGAUGGAUUGGUGCCUUCGGGAACUGUGAGACAGGUGCUGCAU